rnacentral:rRNA from 1 species
AUGGUGGUGGGAAUGGACUGGUUGGAGGCGUGCGGGCCUAUGUUGGUUGAUUGCACGGCAAAAACGCUGCAGUUUCAGCAUCAGGGACAGUCUAUUACCUUGGUAGGGUUGCAGACCAAACUUCAACAGGUCGAGCAAGUAACGAUGGAUCGGUUACUCAGCAUGGAGCAGAAUAACUCUAUUGCUCAUGUGAUCUUGUUGUGUGCAAUCGAUCGUCAAGACAAGGCCACAAAAGUGCCUCCAGCCAUUCAACAUGUCAUCGACAUCUUCCACUCAGUGUUUGCGGAGUCGUCCAAGCUGCCAGAUCGUCAACCAUGGGAUCAUACAAUCCCUCUGCUUGAAGGGGUCAGACCGAUCAACAUCAGACCGUAUCGCUACACUCCUGAACAGAAAGACGAGAUAGAAGCUCAGGUCAAAGAGAUGUUAGCAAAAGAGCUCAUCACACCCAGUACGAGUGCAUUCUCUUCGCCCAUUCCUGUUGGUCAAGAAGAAAGACCAAACAUGGCGUUUUUGUGUUGA